ACUCUAGUCUGGCACUGUGAAGAGACAUGAGAGGUGUAGAAUAAGUGGGAGGCCCCGGCCGCCGUUGAAAUACCACUACUCUUACCGUUUUUUCACUUACCCGCUGAGGCGGGGAGGCGAGCCCCCCAGCGGGCUCUCGCUUCUGGCGUCAAGCGCCCGGCCCGGCCGGGCGCGACCCGCUGCGGGGACAGUGGCAGGUGGGGAGU
rnacentral:ncRNA from 1 species